UUUCACAGAAGAUUCAACUCAGGAAUAAGGAGAAAGAGGCCUUUGUGCAGUCUGCCUUUAAGUGGAGGCUGACCCGGCUUUCUGGUUCCUUCACUGCUUGGGGCUGAGUUGCUGAAGGUCUGCUUUGGGCUGGGAGCCUCACCAUGCCAUCCGUGGCCUGCCUUCUGCUCCUGGGGGCAUGUUGUCUUGGGGCUUUGGGACAGACCCCAAAGCAGAAGAGAAUCAGUCAUGGGGAAGAGAUUCACUUUCAGACAAAGGGCAAAGAUGCAUGUUCUAUGCGGGUCAGUGAUCAGGGUGAAAUCCACCUCAGGCUUGAAUGCAGGAACCAGGGCCAGUUCUCCUGGUGUGAGUACAGUGGGAAACUUAAACUAUGUGGGGCUUUCGUCAGCAACCCAACUCUCUACUGGAGUCAGGUGGUUCUGGGCUUGAGGAGGCUGAGUGAGCCCUGCCUGGCAGCCCCAGUGUUGAGGCCCCCAAUGUGCCAAGGUGCUGGACCUGAGGCUCAGCUCAAGCAGGAGGCUUCUAGCCUAAAGGAUGCUCACCUCUCCAGCUUGCAGUCUGAAGCUUCUAGGCCUUCAAAAUUAGGGUUCAGGUCGGAGGGGACACCCCCAAAAGACUCCAAGGAAGUCCAGAUGGUCAAAGUGUCUGCCAAGAAGGUUGGGAAAGCCAAGCCCACUGCCCUACCUCCAGCAAAGCCAACCCAACAAGGGCAGCAGGCCCGGAGAGAGGAGGAGGCCAGGAGAAUGGCGAAAGAAUACUGCUGGGAGCCCUUGCACAAGAUCUGUUCUUACAUCAUUGGCAUCUUUCUGGGCUAAGGACACAGCCCUGAAGAUGAGGAACUUCAAUUUCCUCUAAUAAAGAAAUUGAAAUCCAGAAAAGAAACCUUCAGCUGGAAAAAGAUCCCUCCUUUCAUUGCAUAGUGCUUCAUCUAUUAAACCUCUAUCUGUCCUCAGAAUGAAUAAACUACUUGCCUAUUUCCAAAUGAAUGAAUAUUUCAGCUAAUGGGUUGUGUUUUUGUUUUUGUUUUUUGGUGUGUUGGGCAGGAAAAUAAUCUCUUUGUGAGUUUAUAGUUCAGAGUAAUAAAUUUUAUGUGAGAUUGCAGGGUUAGCCCUGGGACUUGAGGCCCAAGCAUAGUUUUACAGCUUAUUUUCAAAUCUUAGAAGUCCUAUAGGGAAGUUGAAAUAUGUUAACAUUAUUCCAUAGUUGUGGAUUAGCUUCUCUAACAAGGACUGUAUUUUGCAAUAGUCUGUAUAUGCUACAUUGAAUGAAUGAGUGUCUGGAGGCAGGAUGCUGUCCUGUGUAGUCUGCCCCUUCUGUACUAUCAAUAAAUGAAAGAAUGAUUUCAAAAGCCUA